UACGUAGGGGGCUAGCGUUGUCCGGAAUCAUUGGGCGUAAAGCGCGCGUAGGCGGCCCGGUAAGUCCGCUGUGAAAGUCAAAGGCUCAACCUUUGAAUGUCAGCGGAUACUGCCGGGCUAGAGUCCGGAAGAGGCGAGUGGAAUUCCUGGUGUAGCGGUGAAAUGCGCAGAUAUCAGGAGGAACACCGAUGGCGAAGGCAGGUCUCUGGGCCACUACUGACGCUGAGAAGCGAAAGCAUGGGGAGCGAACAGG
rnacentral:rRNA from 1 species